rnacentral:rRNA from 1 species
AUGCCACCGGAUCGAGACAUCAAGUUUUUGAUAGAGCUACUGCCAGGUACCGGGCCAAUAUCCAAGAGACCCUAUCGGAUGCCCGCGAAUGAUUUGGAGGAAAUUAAGAAACAGAUCAAGGAGUUGUUGGAGAAAGGAUACAUUCGAAGGAGUUCAUCACCUUGGGGAGCCCCAGUGCUUUUGGUUGAGAAGAAGGAUAAAUUCCUAAGAAUGGUUGUUGAUUAUCGGGCCUUAAAUGAAGUGAUGAUCAAGAACAAGUACCCACUGCCGAUGAUCAAUGAUCUAUUUGAUCAGCUGCAAGGAGCUAAGGUGUUUUCAAAGAUCGAUUUGUGA